ensembl:lncRNA
UUAUGAUAGAGCAUAUUAAAAGUUGAAAUAGCAAAUCAAAGAGCUUUAUUAAGUGCCCUUUAGGUUUUCUUACAUGUUUAGUGGCUUUAGCUUUUUGGGUUUUUCUCUUCAUUGUCUAAUUCAUUGUGAUUAUUAUGAGAAGGACUGGUAAAGCAGAAUAGAAAUGCAUACCUGUGACAGCAGUAACUAUAACUCUCAGUUUCUACUUGAAUUAUUUACGUGUCGUCCCCCCCAAGUAGUCUCACUGGAUAUCCUUACGGGGGAACUAAGUGCACAGCUUUUCCAACAGUGAUGGUGAAAACUUGUAUUUUUUGCUUCCCUUGCCCCGUCAAGGUGUUUGAUCUGUGCAGCAAGCACAGGAGUGGUUCUGCCUCAGGCAUAUAUUAAUGCUCCUGGUCCUCGUGACAAAAAUUCCGGAGCCUUCUGACACGUGCUAACAACUAUCACUGCUUAGUGAUGAGUCUCAUAAUGGGGAAUGUCCCUCAAUGCUAUCUGCUGAAUGUGACACUAUGUGGUCACUGAACCAAGUGACUUGGGCUGGAUUUACUGUGAUCUUUUGGUUGACAGAGAAUGAUUCACCUGAAAUCUGUGGAACUAUACACAGGAGAAAAAAACUGCUCUAUUGGGCCACAGAAAUAAAGAGCAUUCAUCGUGACAUCGUUAAAUCUUCCUCAAGCCUUCAGCCCCUGUUCUUCUACAUGCUGGCUCGUCAUCCAGGGAGGGGAUCUGAAAUUCCAUGGCCCAUCGAAAAGCCUCAAGAGAGAAUUUAUUUGAGAAGCUUGUAUAAGUCCUCCUGCACCUCUGAGAGAGAUUGUCUUCUCAGCAAGACUACAGUCCUCCAGAGUCAAUUUUCCUAAUAGAGACCUCCUGGACUAUGUUGGACAAAUGUCAUGUCCCCUGGCUCUCUCCAUCUUGUAAUGAAAAUUAGACCUAUUGCCAACUACACCUUGCUGAUUGCUUCCUACCUGCUGCUAAGGAUAAUCUGUGCAGUGUAAAUGAAGACUUCAGCAGUUGGUGAAAGAAAAUAAAAAGGUACAAGAAAGGACUGAUGUUCA